GGCCACCCAAUCGCCUCCCAGUGACUUUCAUCGGAGAAAUUGGAGAAGAAAAUCUUUUCCUCUACCCUCUCAGGUAAUAAAAUCCCCAUGUGAGAGUUGCCCUCCCUGUACCCC